GACGAACGCUGGCGGCGCGCUUAACACAUGCAAGUCGAACGGAAAGGCCUGCUUUCCCUUGUGGAUUGCGGGUACUCGAGUGGCGAACGGGUGAGUAACACGUGAGUGAUCUGCCCCCAACUUGGGUAUAAGCCUGGGAAACUGGGUCUAAUUCUCGAUAGGACUGCAGGGUGGUGCCUGUGGUGGAAAACGAUUUUCUAGUGGUUGGGGAUGAGCUCGAGGCCUAUCAGCUUGUUGGUGGGGUAAUGGCCUACCAAGGCGGAGACGGGUAGCCGGCCUGGGAGGGGGGACGGCCACAUUGAGACUGGGAUACGGCCCAGACGCGUAGGGGAGGCAGGAGAGGGGAAUAAAGGACAAUAGGCGGAAGGCUGAUGCAGCGACGGCGCGUGGGGGAUGACGGCCUUGGGGUUGUAAGCUCCUUUCGAACGCGAGGAAGCCACGUGGUUGGAAGGGUGGUGACGGUAGUGGUAGAAGAAGCACCGGCUAACUACGUG
rnacentral:rRNA from 1 species